rnacentral:rRNA from 1 species
UAUUGCCUACGGGGCGUAGCAGUGAGGAAUAUUGGUCAAUGGGAGAGAUCCUGAACCAGCCACGCCGCGUGAGGGAAGACGGCCCUAUGGGUUGUAAACCUCUUUUGUCGGAGAACAAAACCCGGGACGUGUCCCGGACUGCGUGUAUCCGAAGAAAAAGCAUCGGCUAACUCCGUGCCAGCAGCCGCGGUAAUACGGAGGAUGCGAGCGUUAUCCGGAUUUAUUGGGUUUAAAGGGUGCGUAGGCGGUCUGUUAAGCCAGCGGUAAAAUUGCGGGGCUCAACCCCGUCGA